GACAGAGGGGGCAAGCGUUGCUCGGAAUUACUGGGCGUAAAGGGCGCGUAGGCGGAAUGGCAAGUCGGUCGUGAAAUCCUUCGGCUCAACCGAAGAACGUCGACCGAAACUGCCGUUCUUGAGGAUUGCAGAGGAGACUGGAAUUCCCGGUGUAGCGGUGAAAUGUGUAGAGAUCGGGAGGAACACCGGUGGCGAAGGCGGCGUUCUGGACUGCAACUGACACUGAGGAACGAAAGCCAGGGGAGCAAACGGG
rnacentral:rRNA from 1 species